UAGUCCACGCCGUAAACGAUGAAUGCUCGCCGAUGGAUUCGUUCAGACUUCAUUGGCAAAGCUAACGCAUUAAGCAUUCCGCCUGGGGAGUACGGUCGCAAGACUAAAACUCAAAGGAAUUGACGGGGGGCCCGCACAAGCGGUGGAGCAUGUGGUUUAAUUCGAUGCAACGCGCAGAACCUUACCCGGGCUUGACAUCCUUCAAACUUUGCUGAAAGGCAUUGGUGCCAUCGUAAGAUGGAAUGAAGAGACAGGUGCUGCAUGGCUGUCGUCAGCUCGUGCCGUGAGGUGUUCGGUUAAGUCCGGCAACGAGCGCAACCCCUGUCGCUAGUUACCAGCAUUUAGUUGGGGACUCUAGCGAGACUGCCGGUGAUAAACUGGAGGAAGGUGUGGGAUGACGUCAAGUCUUCAUGGGCCCUUACGGGGUUGGGGCUACACACGUGCUACAAUGGGCAUCUACAGUGGGGUUAAUCCCCAAAAG
rnacentral:rRNA from 1 species